rnacentral:rRNA from 1 species
UACGGAGGGUGCGAGCGUUGUUCGGAUUCACUGGGCGUAAAGGGUGCGUAGGCGGGUCGGCAGGUCGGAUGUGAAAACCCCACGGCUCAACCGGGGGCCUGCAUUCGAAACCGCCGAUCUUGAGUACGGGAGAGGAGAGUGGAAUUCCUGGUGUAGCGGUGAAAUGCGUAGAUAUCAGGAAGAACACCAGUGGCGAAGGCGGCUCUCUGGCCCGAUACUGACGCUCAGGCACGAAGGCUAGGGGAGCAAACAGGAUUAGAUACCCCCGUA